rnacentral:rRNA from 1 species
UACGUAGGGUGCAAGCGUUUGUCCGGAAUUAUUGGGCGUAAAGAGCUCGUAGGCGGCUUGUCACGUCGGAUGUGAAAAUCCAGGGCUCAACCCUGGACCUGCAUUCGAUACGGGCAGGCUAGAAUUCGGUAGGGGAGACUGGAAUUCCUGGUGUAGCGGUGAAAUGCGCAGAUAUCAGGAGGAACACCGGUGGCGAAGGCGGAUCUCUGGGCCUUACCUGACGCUGAGGCGCGAAAGCUAGGGGAGCGAACAGG